rnacentral:lncRNA from 10 species
GAUUACCUCUCAAACAUGUCAUGGAAAUAAUUAAGUAAUGGUGCCUAAACUGACAAUGUGAAAUUUACAAGUUCUAUUCUCUCUUAGAGACCUCAUAUGGCAAGGACACUGCCUACGAACUUAUGAAAAUUAGAUUUAUGAGUGCUUUUUCUCUAUAAACUAUGUCAUAAUUGGUGCUUGUUUAUAGUCUUAAAUAAUGAUGGCAAUACCAUAGUUCAAACUCAUCUAGGUUAAUUUGAGUUUCAAGUGUUGAUUUUAAAACUUACUCAUUAGAAAGGAAUGUCUCUGGUAAAAUGCAUAGAGUCCCAACAAAUGAUUAAUAAGAUAAUGCAGCCUAUUCAUAAGAAGGGCACUAAAUGUACCCUGUCCUGUUCUCUUCUAUUGAGAGAAAGAGAACAAGAUGUCACAAAUCUUAUGAAAAAGCUUCUCCUGUAACUUCGAAUAUGGGAAAAAAGGAGAGGGAACAAACUAUUUUCUCACAACUUGCAUCCUCUAUAUCCCCUCCCUCCCUUCCUCUAGAACUAUUGGCAAGAGUAUCAACAUUGUUGUGCAUAGUAGAAGUUUUUGUAAAAGAAAGAUUCUUGUAGCUCUCUCUAGAGAUUCUGAUUAAGAAAGCCUGGAGUGGGACUCUAAUUUACACAUUCUAUAAAACACCAGAGGUGACUCAAUAGCCAUAUUAUAUAUUGCAAUUUCCAAGUGACGAAGAUGAACUACUCAUUUUGCAAGUAAUAGAUAGAUAGACAGAUUUAACAGCUACAAAGUAGCUCCUUUUGUACGAAUGAAAUUCAUAUUUAGAAAUGCAGAAAAAUAAAAUAAUGAAAACUUAAAACUUAAAGCCAAUGGCUAAAUAUAAUUUGAAGGGAAAGAGGAAGUUAAGUGAAUCACAUAACUUAAAACUGGCCUUUAGCCAAAUAUGCAGUGUGUUUUAAAAUAAAUGGGUAACUUUCCUAGUACAGUUUGCUUAGUGUGUAAACUAUUCAUUCGCUUAAACAAUGAGUGUAAAUUGGGUUUCAUUGAGAACAUUUUUUUCUUAUUCCCUGGGUAAUUAUUUCUUCCAUUUUUUGAAAGCUAAGUUUCUGAAUAGAUUAGUACAUGAUAAAACUAUACUCUCUCAUUGUUUUGCCUGAGUUGUUCUUACUGUCGUAUUUUGGGGUCUUGAGCUUGAACCACACUGGGCCUCUGCAACAAAGCCAAAAUGCAAGGGAAGCAAACCAGAAAGGGAUAGCAACAUACAAUAAAAAUAAAUAGAUAUAAAGUCUAUUCAAAGCAGCCUAGUGGUCAAGGCACAUUUUAGGGGUACCAAAAUUUCAUCUCAAUAUCUGAAUUUUUCAUGGUCAUUGAAGUUUUACCAUUUUUUUAAGUAUAGCAUACAGAUAGAAAACUCCAAAAAUCAUAGAUAUACAGAGAAACCUUCCAAAUAAACACACCUGUGUAACCAGAUUUCAUGUCUCUGGUUAAUUUGGUUAAUGUUUAAGAAUUAGAACAUUACCAGCAUACUGGAGCCUCACUCUUCCAGUCAAUGUUACUCCCAAUGGAAACCACAAGUCUGAUUUCUAACACCAUGGAUUACUUUUGCCUUUUAUUUUGAAAGUUAUAUUAAUGGAAUGGUAUAGAUGGACUCUGUGGACUUUGUGACUUUUUUCACUCAACAUUGUAUUUUACUGAUUUAUCCAUGUUGUUGCAUGUAGUUGUAGUUUUUAUUUUUAUUAUUAUAUAGCAUUCCAUUAUGAGACUAUACCAAUGUUUAUUUGCUUUUGAUAAGCAUUUCAAAAUUUUCAGUUUGGUUUACUACAAAUAGUACUACAGUGAACAUGUUAUUUACAUUUUUGGUAUAUAUAUUUUAUGUGCAUUUUCCUUGAGUGUAGCCUAGGUAUUGAUUUACUAAAUAACGUGAUGUGCAUACGUUUAAGAUAUACCACCAUAUACUUUUCCAACCUGGUUAUAUUGAUUUACAAUUACACCAGCUGUACAAAAGCAUUCCAGUCCCAGAUUUUAUACUCAUCACCUAUUAUUUUAUGUAAUUUUCAUUUUAGCCAUCUUGGUAAAUGUUUAUUAUGUUCUGGUUAUAAUUGAUAUUUCACUGCUGAUAAAUUUUGAGUAAGUUUUCACAUUAAUUCAUCAUAUUGAUUAUUCAUUAUACCUCUUUUGUGAAGUACCCAUUCAACUCUUUUGUCUAUUUUUUAUGUGUUGCCCUAUUUUUUCACUGAUUUGAAGAAUAUGAAUAUCUAUGAGUGUGCAUGUGCAUAUGUUUGCUUACACAUAUGUACAUAUUUUUAUGUAGGUGUGUAUAUAUAUACACCUUAAGAUUUUUUGUAUCUUUGCUCUUUUCAAAAUCUUUCUUAUUUUCAUAUUGUCUAUAGAAAUAUUAGUGAUAUCCCUAUUUCAUCCUCAAUAUUGAUGAGUAUUCUCUCUCUCUUUUUUAAUAUGUCUUGCCAUGUGGUCGUCAAUUUUCUUACUCUUAAGAAACACAAAACUGUUGGCUUUUUUGAUAUUACAUCUGCUAUUUCAUCUGCUUAUUCUAUGACUUGAGUUUUUAGUCACUUAACAGUGUCUUUUGGUAUUAUUAGUCUUAAUAUUGUUCAAUUUAUAAUUUUUUCUGCAGAGUAAGCAUUUUGUAUCCCACAUAAGAAAUAUUUGUUUGCAACGAG